GAUAUUUUAUUGAUUAUCAGUAUUUGGACACUGAUUAUUGUUAGUUAAGUCCAACAUUUCUUACUUAAUAUAUUAGUGAUAUCUGUAUAUGUACAUGUUUGAUGUUUGGGCACUUAUCCCAUGCUUUUUAUUAGUAUUUGGUUACUUGGUCCUGAUGGAUAUUGAUGGUUAGACCUUAGUUGGUGGAGGUGAAGGGGCUUCCCCAUGCAGGAUAUUUUAGCAAUAAACCAUUGAUUUUGAAGAUGAGCAUGUUUAAGAAUUAUGACGAUGGUUUUUUGCAUCUGCUUUUUUCAGAAAUGAAAUUUGAGAAACAGUUGAUUGAUUGCUACAUUGUUAGCAAUCUUUAUGUCUUGGUUCUAUUGCUUAGGCUGCUUAGUUCAAAUGCUUAUUUUAAGGUAUGGAAUUGACAAUUUAGGUCAUUUUAUGGUUGAGGAUGCGAUAGAGUGUGAUUUUUGUCCAGUGUUAGAGCAUUCUUUGUUGGAACAGUUUGUUCUUUCAUAAUUUUAACGUUUUACUUUAAUUACUGUUGGUUGUAUUUAUUAUAUCUUGUUUCCAUUGUAUAAUUUAUUCUGUUAUUUCAGUUGAUGUUCAGUUUGUUUCUGUUUUGCUUAUCUGUAUGUUUGUGCUUUUGAUUAGCUUUGUGUAUUAACUGAUAUCUUUGGAUUUGGGCCGUGACAGGAGUAUCAGUGGAUCAUCUUUUUCUUCUUUGUCCAUUUGUGUAGGACUCAGGACCUAUACUUUAGACUUGCUAGGUGUGCUUUGGGUACUUCCUAAAGGAAGCAGAUAUGUUGGUAAUGGCUGAUUGUUGUUUUUGUUGUAAUUCCAGGUGCGAGGCCCUCUGGCAUGUAUCAAUUCUCUUUUACUUUGGUCAAUUUAGUUGGGGAGAAACACCAGAAUCUUUGAGGAUAUAAAGGCUCUUGAAGUUUUUAUGGGGAGAGAUCUGUUACUUUUUCCUUUUAUAGGUUUUGAGAAAUAAGGACAAUAGCAACAGUACUACAAGAAAUGAGAAUAAAAGCAAUAUAUUGGGAAAAGGAGAAGGUUUGGCUAGAUUGCAGGCCAGUCACAUGAACCCAUUAGUCGAUGAGGAGAAAACUAUGGCAUUAAGCAUGCACCUCAAGCUAAGAAUGUCCUUAAGCACUGUGCUUUUCCCUGCUCCCAUCCCACCUCCCAUAAAGAGUAGCACUGGACUUCUAUUGCUGUGAGCGACUGGAACCAUCACAUCCGUACAUUCUGAAUCAUCAUUUGCUGCAAGCCUGAUCACUUUCAUCUCCUCCACCAAGUGGAAUGCAAAGUAGCUGAUGAUGCAUCUCUCGAACUCCUCCACCAGCUUUAUAAACAAAGAGUCUCCAUCCAAUUCGGUGUCAAAGAAUGUAUAGAUAUUCUCCUCACAUCCUUCUGAUUUCCGGGCAUAAUCGGAGGCCAACUUGCAGAGCUGAGGACAUUCUCUUCUGUCUGCAAAUCCUAUUUGCCUUGCUGCAUGCACGAGGGACAGGGAAAUUAAAAAGCUUGAAAGGAGGAUCCAAAUAGGAAUGCAUCAUGGGAGGAAGAGGAAGAGGAAGAUCGAAGAAGAAGAAGGUGGAUCAGAUGGUUAUAUACCUACAUAAUGGGAGAACCUCUCUAGCUUGACCUGCCCAGUAUCUGUUAUCUUCAUAUGUGGAACAAUCUUCAGACACCUCCUAAAACGAAAGUGCAUCAAUGCAGCAAUGAUGAAGCCGAUGACAGAGGCUAUGAGGAUCUGUGUGAAAGUAGACUUGCCCUUGUCAUCUGAAAGGGAAGAAGAAGUUGAUUAUCACAAUCACAUUUACCCCUUGUUUCCAUGCAUGACAUGACAAUACCUAUAUUUAUUUUUACGAUUAGAGAGACAAGAAUGGAUUGUGUUGUUUGAGACUCACCGUUCUGCAUGUCUGAGAAAUUGAAGGAGAGGUAAAAGAGAGAAUUGUGUUUUCUAGUGUUCUGUUGAGAAAAUGAGAAACAGAUUCAUCGGUUUUAUUUGUUUCGGGACACGUAUUCCAGUGAGCGAUGGAAUAGUGGUUUUACCAUCAAUUCUCAAGAUUUUUG